rnacentral:rRNA from 1 species
UACGUAGGGUGCAAGCGUUGUCCGGAAUUAUUGGGCGUAAAGAGCUCGUAGGCGGUUUUGUUGCGUCGGCUGUGAAAUCCCGAGGCUCAACCUCGGGUCUGCAGUCGAUACGAGCAAACUAGAGUGUUGCAGGGGAGACUGGAAUUCCUGGUGUAGCGGUGAAAUGCGCAGAUAUCAGGAGGAACACCGGUGGCGAAGGCGGGUCUCUGGGCAGUAACUGACGCUGAGGAGCGAAAGCGUGGGGGAGCGAACAGG